AGUGAACGCUGGCGGUAGGCCUAACACAUGCAAGUCGAACGGCAGCACAGUAAGAGCUUGCUCUUACGGGUGGCGAGUGGCGGACGGGUGGGGAAUACAUCGGAAUCUACUUUUUCGUGGGGGAUAACGUAGGGAAACUUACGCUAAUACCGCAUACGACCUACGGGUGAAAGCAGGGGAUCUUCGGACCUUGCGCGAUUGAAUGAGCCGAUGUCGGAUUAGCUAGUUGGCGGGGUAAAGGCCCACCAAGGCGACGAUCCGUAGCUGGUCUGAGAGGAUGAUCAGCCACACUGGAACUGAGACACGGUCCAGACUACUACGGGAGGCAGCAGUGGGGAAUAUUGGACAAUGGGCGCAAGCCUGAUCCAGCCAUACCGCGUGGGUGAAGAAGGCCUUCGGGUUGUAAAGCCCUUUUGUUGGGAAAGAAAAGCAGCAGGUUAAUACCCCGCUGUUCUGACGGUACCCAAAGAAUAAGCACCGGCUAACUUCGU
rnacentral:rRNA from 1 species